UGGCAGCAGCAGAGGAAGCAGUGACAGGGACGUUGGGGGUGGCGGGGGCACCACAAGCUGCUGAGCAGGAUGCAAGAGGAGCGUAGCACAGGGAGGUGCCUGCAUGACAUUACACAGACGCCACUCAGGACACGUGGCUGCUGGCCAGUGUGGGAGGCUUCAUGACCCAGGAGCAAGACAAAGGGCAAGAGGAAUGGCCAGCCAUGGGAAAUGGGCCUGGGCCACAGUCUGACUCCUUGAAACUGUCAUCUUCAAGUCAUGACCUCAACAGGCACCAUGUAACCAGUGAAUGCCAGCUGGGCACCCAAGACUGGGCCAGCAUCUGGACAGUGACCCACAGCAUGGACCAGGCCACCAGCCCUGGCUAAUGGGAUGUCUCACAGCAUGGCCUGCUCUCACCUACUUCACCGCUUCGGUUGUCCUGGAACUUACUCUACAGACCAGAAUGGCCUUGAACUCAGAAGUCCACCUGCCUCUGCCCCCUGAGUGCUGGAGUUAAAGGUGUACACCAUCACUGCCUGGCUUAAUUUCCCCCCAAAGAAUAAAGGGACAUCUGGAGAGAUGUCUCGGCAGCUGCGAGUGCUUGCUACUCCUCCACGGGACUCAAGCUCGGUUCAGAACCCAAACCCGGCAGUUCACAACUUGUAAGUGUAGCUCCCAUCUCUAAUAUCCUUAGGCAAACCCACUCAAGAGCACAAACCCACACUGACGUCAGUAAAAGCAGCAGGAUUAUUUAUAAAAGGAGAAAAGAGCCUAAGAAGGGAACUCGGGGGAAGAGUGUGUGCCUAGAAUGUGCAUGCCCUGGGUUCUGUGCCCAGCACUAGGGAGAAAUGGAGAAGAAAACAGGGUUAGAGCUAAUGAAGAGGAAAUGCAAGGCUGACCUGGGCUAUGGAGUGAGUUGACAGUUAGCCUAGGCAAAUUUGAGAUACUGCCUCAAAAUAAAUAAAAAGGCUGCAGAGAUGGCUCAGCAGUUAAGAGCACUGGGUGCUCUUCCAGAGGUCCCAGCUUCAGGUCUCAGCAUCCACAUGGAGGCUCACAACCCUUUAUUCCAGGGGAAUGGACUGCAUCUUCCCACUGCACUGGGCUCCAGGUACCAGGCUAUGCAGGUGGUGCAUAGAGAUAAGCAUGUGGGUAAAUACCUAUACAUGUAACAUAAAGAAAUCUUGAAAGAAUGAAACGAACAAAGAAAGGAAGGAAGACAGACAGACAACCCCACUCUUGCUCACAGGAAUAUCCACUGUGGCCUUAUUUACAAAUAGAAAAACCACAGUAUAACUCAGUGUAAGAGAGCAAAUUUGUGUUCGGGUGCCCAAGAAAAGUCCAGUUCUCUCCAUUACCCUAAAUGCCUUUCCAGUGAAUGACCACACGAGGGCAUGAAAGAGCUCCAUAAAACAAGACUUUGGCAGAGCAAGUGUUUAAACUAGUUUCUGAAUGUUGGGUAGAUAGAUGGUGUAGCUUUCUGUAAGUUCAAAUCUUGGGAUCUACACGGCAGGAAAAGAGACUCUAACUUUUGUAGGUGCUCAGGCUCUCUGAUUAUGAACACACAAAAUUAAUUUAAGAACAAAAGCGAAUCAGGUAGUAGUCCUGUGUACACACUAAAUUUGCUAGCUUUGCUAACAGGACAAUGUGGAUUUUUUGUUUGCUUGUUUUUGAGACGAGUCUCACUGUAUAACUAGCCCCUCUCAGUUCUAGUAAUCCCUUGCCUGAGCCUCUGAAGGGCUUCAAUUCUAGAUGUACAACACUACAGCUGGCUGAUACAAUAGUUAAAGUAAGAGAAAACUUCCCCCAGGGCUAUAAUGCUGCACUAAAAUCUUAGGAUUAGAUUUUAAAAUAUUACGGGGCAGGAGGUAACAUGUGCAACCUCAUCUCAAAGGAUCCAAGCAGGAAAAAAACAGAGGCAGGCGGAUCAACAAAUCCAGGGCCCUGGCCUACAGAUCAAGUUCCCGAACAGCCAGUGCUACAUACUCCUGUAUGGAGUGGAGUGGGGAGAAGAAAGAUAGACAGUGGCUGGCAUGGUGGCUCAGUAUUUAAGAGCACUGGCUGUUCUUCCAGGGGACUAAGGUUUGAUUCUUAGUACCCACACAAUAGCUCACACUUGUCUCUAGUCCCAGGGAAUCUGACACUCUCUUCUGGCCUCUGUGGUCACCAGGGAUACAAGUGGUGGACAUACAUACAUACAUGCAGGCAAACAACCAUACACAUAAAAAAUAAAAAUAAGUCUUGUAGAAAAUUUUCACCACUAGUUUCUAAAACACCCCCACUCUUGCCACCUACCUAUAUUUAAUCCCACCCCAGGAUUAGUUUCUGUGACCAGGAACUCCCCAGAAAUGAUCGUAGUCACUUCUGAGACUAUGCCACAAGCAGGCUUCAAUUCCCACCCAGAGCUGGUUCUCGCUACUCAUGUGUUGUGUGGAAGCCAACCACGGCUUGCUGUGACCCGUCCCUUCAGACGCCCACACAGGCUGAGCUGGGAGACAGGUUCACCAGCCUCAACAAGCCAUUACAUGAUUGCAGCCCUGCCUGACACCUUUCUUAUUUCUUGAUUUGAGACAAGAAUCUCAUAUAGCCCAGGCUGGCCUGGAACUCACUAUAUAGAUCAGGCUGGUCUUGAACUCAGAACUCUGCUUGCCUCUGCCUUCUAGGUGCUGGGAUUCAAGGCUUGAGCCAUGACUGCAAAGUCUCAUGUCCUGCAGGCUAAACUGGAACUCACUCUGAAGUCCAGGAUGACCUUGAACCCCGAGUCUUCCUGCCUUUGACUCCCAAGGGGACAGGCAGGCUUGCAGGUAUGCACCACUAAAUCAGGUAUGCCUGGCUCCUUUUGGUUAAGAGUUGUCUGUGUUGGUCAGGCCUGGUGUAAGAACACAGCAUACAAAAAACUAGCAAGAAAGCUGAGCGGUGGUGGUGAACUCCCAGUUCUCAGAAGGCAGAGGCAGGUGGGUCUGUCUGAGGCCAGCCCGGUCUAAGUUCCAGAAUAAGUUCCAGGACAUCGAGGGCUACACAGAUGGCUCUGUCUCAUGGGAGGAAAAGGAAAAGAAAAGAGAAGAAAGAACCCCACAGAUAGGUGAGUUUGUGCACAUGUCCUAACUGUAAAGUAGCUGCUAUUUAUCAUCCUCACAUAAGUGGUAAGGAAACUGAUGCAAAGAGAAAAAUAAGCAGGUUGUACAGGGGCCAGAGGACGUGCUGGCAGAUGACAGAGCGCUCCUCCCAACACUCCAUAAUUCCUUUGGACCACGGCUUGUCAACUAAAUGCAAUGCCAGCUAGGGACAUUUCUGGGCUGUGGCCACCAUUUGCAAAGUACAGAAGGACAGAGCUCGGUGUUUAAGAGCAUUGCUGCUUGUCUGGAGAAUCCAGGCUCUGUUCCUAGCACCCACCAUCGGGUGGGUCACAACUGUAACACCAGCUCCAGGGAUCCAGUCCUCAGACCCGAGUGCGCAUACCCACAUGGUAUACCCGCAUGCACACCUACAGCAGACACAAGCAAACUCCUAAUAUGUGUAGAGUACACAUAAGCUCACCGGUUCAACCUCUUCCCCACCCUCAAUCUAGACAGAAGAAACAUGUUCAAGUUUAUAUGACAGGCAAUCUAUAUGUACAAUCAUGGCUGCCCAAGGGCCAAGCCUACACUGACGUUGCCAUCCAUACCCUUGCCAAUAUAUGCUCUGAAGGCUCACUUUAGUGUCUACAAAUCAACAAGAGAUGGGCUAGGAACCCACACUGCAAAGUGACAAAGGAUAGAAACAGUUUCAUAGAACAAGUAGUUCUUAAAUAUAUAAAAAUUUGCUUCACUUUACUGACAAUAAGAAGAAAUACAACUUAAAAAUCAAUGCAAGGCACAAUUUUUACAAUAAGUCACACUGGUUACUUCAAUACACUAGAGAGGCUGGGAGUGGACAGGAGCAAGCUACGCUGCUGACAAAGCUACACCAAGCAGUCCACAGAUGGCAGCUUGGAGACAGCAUUACAAUGUAAAGCCAUACAUCUUUUAAAGUCCCAGAAAAUUCAGUUUAAAGAACUUAUUCUAAGUUAUAUGUGGUAGAAUAGACUUGUAAGCCCAGCAACUUGGAACAGUGAGGCAGAAGGACCACAAAUUAAAGGCCUACCUGGUCAAUUUAGCAAGUUAACUCUGUCUCAAUUGGAAAUGUUCAAAAGUUUGUGUGAUAGAUCUCAGUAGUAGCUUGCCUAGAGCCCACCAGGGACUUAAGGCGUGGCUCAGUGGUAGAGCCCCUGCCUAGAAUCCCCCAGUGAGGGGCUAGGGGCGUGGCUCUGACAGAAUGCCUACUUACAUUGCACAAAACUCUCAGUUCAAACCUCAGAUCACAAAAUACUUUCUGCUGCAAAAUGCCACACAAAGCUGUUAUCCACAGCCUUGUUCAUAACAAAGAAAAACGAGGAGUGACUUUAGAAGCCCACCGACUUGCUAAAAAAUAGCGUACCUACACAAUGGUUUACUACCCAGUCAUGCCAAAGAAUAAAAAGCAGCCACUGAGGUCAAGUUUAAACAAUAGACACAAGGUGUGAGCCUAGUCAAAGCAUUUUAUAGAACAGAGCAUUCAUGUGUGCUCAUGCUCACGCCCACAUUGAAAAGGAAAUUCAAGAGCCUUGUUCAGGAGGAGCUGAGGAUUUCAGAAUGGUUCUCCUGGCUGUUGCAGAGACUGGGUCUCAUGUAGCCCAUGCUGGCUUCAAACUCCCUAUAUAGCCCAGGAUGACCCUGAUAGUAUGAUCUUAUUCCCACCACCACCACUACCACCACCCUGAGCCCUGAGUGCUGGUUACAGACAAGU